GUAAAUACAGUUUAAUCAAAACAUUAGAUUGUGAAUCUAAUAAUAGGGUCUCGCAACCCCUUAUUUACC
rnacentral:tRNA from 1 species